GGAGGUCGGCCCUCCGGGUUCGCCGUGCAGGCGGAGAACCCAAACCACCGCAGUGUCAUGCCGGUCAAGAGCCGGGGUGGGAAGCGACUGCGGACAAGGCCCGCAACCAGCGGGUCAGGU
rfam:Kutzneria sp. 744 genomic scaffold supercont1.1, whole genome shotgun sequence.